CGACUCUGUUGCCUCCGGGGCGACCCUGCCUUCGGGCGGGGGCUCCGGGUGGACACUUCAAACUCUUGCGUAACUUUGCAGUCUGAGUAAACUUAAUUAAUAAAUUAAAACUUUUAACAACGGAUCUCUUGGUUCUGGCAUCGAUGAAGAACGCAGCGAAAUGCGAUAAGUAAUGUGAAUUGCAGAAUUCAGUGAAUCAUCGAAUCUUUGAACGCACAUUGCGCCCCCUGGUAUUCCGGGGGGCAUGCCUGUUCGAGCGUCAUUUCACCACUCAAGCCUCGCUUGGUAUUGGGCAACGCGGUCCGCCGCGUGCCUCAAAUCGUCCGGCUGGGUCUUCUGUCCCCUAAGCGUUGUGGAAACUAUUCGCUAAAGGGUGUUCGGGAGGCUACGCCGUAAAACAACCCCAUUUCUAAGGUUGACCUCGGAUCAGGUAGGGAUACCCGCUGAACUUAAGCAUAUCAU
rnacentral:rRNA from 1 species